rnacentral:sRNA from 1 species
AAUUCAUCAUUUUUCAAACUCUAUAAAUAAAGACUUGUUUCAUUUGAUUUGGACACAGAAAAAAAUAUAUUUAUUUUCACUAUAAUUUUUUUAUUAGUCGGUAAACUCGUGUCUAUAUUUUUAUUCUGUUUUUUUCAGUGAAAUGGAUCCCCACAAUAACUCCUUUAACAACUAAAAUUCCACUUAUUAUCCAUUUAAAAUAUAAAAGAAAAGAAAAAUAAUGAAAUAAAAUGUUUUGGGGUAGGGUGUUGAAUUUUUAAAAAAAACCAUUGUAGAGUGUAAAAUUUGAGUGGGUAUUGAAUUAUUAUGUGGAAGAAAGAGGAAAGGAUGUGGAAGAGAGAGAAGAUGAUGUGGAGGGUGUUAAAUGAAAAAACCAUUGUUGAUAGCCUUAGAGCAGGAUUUUAAAAGUCAGAUUAUCGCAUCUAAUCUUGGAAAUUGAAAUGCAGUGUUAUGAGCCGUUGAUUUUUUGAGUUGAACCGAAUAAAAAAAUCACGCGUCUAUAUUUCAUCAACCGAAUUGCAUUAAUUUCAAAUAUUCAUUGCUUAUAUUCCUAUAUUGAAUUUGAAUAUAUCACUUCUCCAUAAUUAUAGGUAAUCAAAUACUUACUUUGGAUCUUCAUUUUGAAUUUUCAUAAAUUUUCUUAACGAUUUUCAUAAUUAAAUAACUACUUAUAUGGUAAAUGGUAAACAUUCUCCUAUAAUUAUGGGAUCAUCAUAAUCACUAAACAUGGAUUCCACGAUUUUGUAUUUUGUCCAUAUUUUUU